rnacentral:tRNA from 1 species
GGGUAACUAGUCCAAACAAGACAGCUGAUUUCGGCUCAACAAAUUGUGGUUCAAACCCACAGUCACCCU